AUUGAACGCUGGCGGCAGGCCUAACACAUGCAAGUCGAGCGGCAGCGGGAAAGUAGCUUGCUACUUUUGCCGGCGAGCGGCGGACGGGUGAGUAAUGCCUGGGAAAUUGCCCAGUCGAGGGGGAUAACAGUUGGAAACGACUGCUAAUACCGCAUACGCCCUACGGGGGAAAGCAGGGGACCUUCGGGCCUUGCGCGAUUGGAUAUGCCCAGGUGGGAUUAGCUAGUUGGUGAGGUAAUGGCUCACCAAGGCGACGAUCCCUAGCUGGUCUGAGAGGAUGAUCAGCCACACUGGAACUGAGACACGGUCCAGACUCCUACGGGAGGCAGCAGUGGGGAAUAUUGUACAAUGGGGGAAACCCUGAUGCAGCCAUGCCGCGUGUGUGAAGAAGGCCUUCGGGUUGUAAAGCACUUUCAGCGAGGAGGAAAGGUUGAUGCCUAAUACGUAUCAACUGUGACGUUACUCGCAGAAGAAGCACCGGCUAACUACGUGCCAGCCGCCGCCGUAAUAC
rnacentral:rRNA from 1 species